GGCCUACGGGAGGCAGCAGUGGGGAAUAUUGGACAAUGGGCGAAAGCCUGAUCCAGCCAUGCCGCGUGUGUGAAGAAGGUCUUCGGAUUGUAAAGCACUUUAAGUUGGGAGGAAGGGCAUUAACCUAAUACGUUAGUGUUUUGACGUACCGACAGAU
rnacentral:rRNA from 1 species